rnacentral:misc_RNA from 1 species
UACGGAGGGUGCAAGCGUUAUCCGGAAUCAUUGGGUUUAAAGGGUGCGUAGGCGGGUAAUUAAGUCAGUGGUGAAAGCCGACAGCUCAACUGUUGAACCGCCAUUGAUACUGGUUAUCUUGAGUAUAGUUGAGGCAGGCGGAAUUUAGGAUGUAGCGGUGAAAUGCAUAGAUAUCGUAAAGAACACCUAUAGCGAAGGCAGCUUGCUAAACUAUAACUGACGCUGAGGCACGAAAGCAUGGGUAGCGAACAGG